GAUGAACACAUGAAGUUUGUACGUCAUCCAAUUUUACCACCAUUUUUGGGUGGUCACGGGCUUGGUAGGCCCGCAUUUGGUGUAGGGCCGGUUAUUGGAUUCGGUCCUUUUGGAGGAAUUGUGGGGGGAGUCGGUCCAAACAACGGUGGCGGAUUGGGUUUCGGAACAGGAACUGGAACUGAUAAUGGAAGUGGAUUAGGUUUUGGAACUGAAAUUGGGAGUGGAUCAAAUUUCGGGUCUAGCAAUGGAGGAGGAGGUUUCGGGUCAGGAAAUGUCGGUGGAGGUUUUGGUUUUAACGGUGAUAGCAAUGGAGGUGAUGGUUCAUUUGCUAGUGGCCAAGCUAAAGCAUCACUUGGAA
rnacentral:misc_RNA from 1 species